rfam:Clostridium sp. CAG:1024 genomic scaffold, scf449
GGUAGAGUAAGUAUUGCGCGUUAAGUGGCAAGAGGCUGGGAAGUCGCCCUUGCACGAAGGACGGGAAGUCGCCCACGAUGUAAUGCUGCAUCCGCUACC